rnacentral:tRNA from 1 species
UCCGGCGUGGUCUAGUGGCCAGGAUACCUGGCUUUCACCCAGGGGGCCCGGGUUCGAUUCCCGCUGUCGGAA